AGAGAAGUUUUUUAGUAAACGAAGUGAAUUGAAAUAUCUUAGUAACUUCAGGAAAAGAAAUCAAAAGAGAUUCUAUGAUUAGCGUGAGUGAAAAUAGAGUAGCCUACUAACAUUAAGUAAAAUGGUUAAAAAACUGUUUGAAUUAAAUGGGGAACCUUCCUCAAAGGCUAAAUAUAAUACAUAAGCGACAGUGAAAAGUAUCAUGAGAGAAAGAUUGUAAUUAGUAGUUUUAUAAGCAGUUCGAGCCAAAUAAAUAAGUGAGAACGUACCUUUUGCAUAAUGGGUCACCUAGUUAACAUUAGAUGCGAGUGAAAGCGUAGGUAAACCAAUCGUUAAAAUAACGAAUAGUGUCUAAAGUUAGACCCGAAGCCUGGUGAUUUUACCAUAAUCAGGAUUAUAAAAGUCCGAACGGGUUAUCGUUGUAAAGAUAUCCGAGGAAUUAUGGUAGGUAGUGAAAGACAACACUGACUAGGAUAGCUGGUUUUCUGCGAAACCUAUAACAGUAGGCAAUUUGAGUAACAUCUUAGCAGGUACAGAAUUUAAUCUCAGACAAGAUGUUUAAAUUUUAGUGGUUAUAGCCAUUAAAACAACAUGUUGAUUUGUAUAUAUCGGGGGAUCGUGAAGAUUUUAUCGGUGAGUAUGUAGACUCGGAAUGGCAAAGAUGGAUCUUGAAUUAUCGGACAUAGAAUGAUAAGGUUGUAUGUCAAAAGGGAAACAGCCCAGAACAAGAGUUAAGGUUCCAAAAUUAUUAGUUAAGUGAAAUUAAGAAGGUUUUUAUUAAAGUCGACAAGGAGAUGGGCUUAGAAGCAGCCAAAUUUUGAAGACCUCGUAACAGAGCGCUUGUUAAGUUUUAAAAGCAUCGAAAAUUUAACGGAUCUAAACAAUAUACCGAAACCUUGUCCAUAUUUUACUAUAUAUAUUUAUUGUAUAGUAAUUUUGUGGGGUAGCAGAACGUUGAAUUAAAUUAAGAUAUUUCUUCAGCGAAGAAAUAUAUGAUAAUCAAUUCAAGUGAGAAUGGUGACAUGAGUAACGAAUAAGAAGGAAGGUUCCCGAUUCCCCCUCUUAGCUUAAGAUUAUUUAACUAGGAGGCGAGCAGGUGAAUUCAGAUCCUCCGCCUAAAGCUUAUGGACUAGCAAGGAGCUUGAAAGUAACGGCCUCUAAGUAAUAGACCUAAAGGUUUAAACGAUGAGAAAAUCUAAAUUACUAAAUGACAACAUUUUGGUCCCCCUCCUUUUGAGGAGGUGCUAGGGGGAAUAAGUGAAAAGUGUUCUGGAAAAAAUAGUAAUAAUGAUAUUUUUAUUUAGUAAAUACAACAAACUAAAACAGAUGAGUUUAGAAAGAUAUAAAAUAUUAUACCGUACCUAGAAUCUGAAACAAGUAAGCUAGUAGAGAAUACGAAGGCGUAAAUGAGCUAACAAUCAUAAAGGAACUCGGCAAAUUAACUACCGUAACUUCGGGAUAAGGAGGGCUCAUUAGUCCUGAUGAAUAUCGGGUAAAAAGGAAGAAGCAUAAAAUAAUGUUGUACGACUGUUUAAUUAAAACAAAGCACUCCGCAAAAAGAUUAAAAAUCGAUGUAUUGAGUGUGAUGUCUGCCCGAUCCCGGCUGGUUAACGGAUUUAACUAAAUUAUUAAAAAAUUUGGUGUUGAAGGAACCCCCGGUUAAUGGCGGCCUUAACGUGAGGGUCCUAAGGUAGCGAAAUGCCUUGGCCGUUAAAUGCGGUCUUGCAUGAAUGAUGUAACGAUACAACAGCUGUCUCUAUGAUUGACUCAGUGAAAUUGGAAUAACUGUGCAGAUACAGUUUACCUCUAGUUAGACGAGAAGACCCUAUGCAGCUUUACUGUUACUAAUUAUUGGGUAUGAUGAAUUAAUUUUCAGAUUAUAAGGUAAAUUGGUUAAUAAAAAUGAAAAUCCUUUAUUUUCGCAUCAUACUUCAGAGUCUCUUGCUUGUUGAAUACUAAUUCAGUGGGCGCUUCUGGCUUCAGUGGGCGCUUCUGGCGCCAAUACAGAAGCCCAAAUGAGAGAUAGCCUCAGUUCUGACUUUUAAGUAGCCUUAGAAAGGAAUAUAUGGUUAGGAGACAGUUUAUGUGGGGCACAGACCCCUUAAAGAGUAAAAGGGAGUGUCUAAAAAUUAUUUGUUAUAGGCACAAGCUUGGCUUCGCUUAGCUUGGCCGUAACGUUGUUUGUGGUUUUAUGUAGUUUUACUAUAUUUAAUCUUCUAAAAUUAUUUCUAUCUACCCUCGCUGUAGAUACGAAUGGAUAUUUAGGUACGUUUUUCACUAUAGUGAAAAUAGCGGUAUAAUAAAAAAUAUUAUGAAUAAAUUUUCUAAUGUUUUUUGAGUUAUUAAGAGAUUUCUUAAUAGUCAUGAUAAAUACCUGAAAAGCUCAACGGCUAAUUCGUGCCAUACUGUUUGAUUAACAACAAAUCUUACAGUUGCGUAAGCAGGGCAUAGGAUCACAAGAUGCAAAAAGGAAAGAUCUUGGAUUAUUGGAAAAGCUACGCUAGGGAUGUUUGUCCUUCAAUAUUUUAAGCUAUCUUUGGCUGCGACUACCAUCUCGCCUGCUACCGCGAACCCCAUUCCCAUACCCCCUGACCCCCGUCCCUAUAAGGGAAUGGGGUAUGGGGUAUGGGGAAAACAAGGGGGGAGAGGGGGUAUGAAUGGAAUGGAGAUGGUAGGGACCAAGAGAGCUAAAAUUAUUGAUAAUAUAUUGGGUUAAUUUCAAGAAUUACUUAGAUAAGUAAAUUUGAAGCGAAAUUUAUCUUGGCAUAAUUAUAUAAGAUAAAAUCGUUCAACGACUAUAAGGUGAGUUAUGCUAACAAUAAUCCUUUUUAACACCCAACAUUUUUAUUACCAUACACUUAUAAAAAAAGAUAAAAAAAAAAGAUAAAAUUUAUUUACAUGAAGGCUAAAGCUUUAAAAACAAAGGUUGGCAGUUCUCCUAAUAAAAUUAGGCGGGGCAUACUUAGCGAAUCCGCCCAUAUUUUUCGUUCUAAUUUAAAUAAUAAUUUUAAAUUAACACCUUUUAAUACUAAAUUUAAUGAUAAUGGUCAUGUUAGAUACUUACCUCCUGUAUCUAAAGAAUGAAAAAAUACUAUAUAUGCAUAUUAUAAACAAAAUAUGCAAAAUUUACCUAUAGAUAGCAAAAAUGCAAAUAAAGUAUUAGAAAGUUAUUUUAAUUUACAUUUUGCCAAUAAUAGAUUUAUAGGAUCAAAAUUCAUAUCUCCAAAAACAAGAAGUUUAUUAUUACAUAAAAUUUAUGUAAGUAAAAUGGAAACAAAACAUACAAAUUCGAAAACUAUAAUAACUUUAUAUACUAUAAAUACUGAAAAAAAUAAUGUAUAUAAUAAUUAUCUAGGUUAUAAUAAAUUUUGAGAAAACCAAAUAUUAAAAUCAUUUAAAAAGGGAUUAAAGCAAAAAAUUAAGGAGGGCUUUAUUACAUAUCCUGUCCUGAACCCCAUAACCCCUUCGGGGUUCGAGAGCAAUGGAACGGGGGGCUUCGCCAUACUUCGUAAUGAAAAAAAACUUCUAGUUUCUAAAUAUAAAUAUUUAACUGAAUCUUUACCAUGUUUUAAUAUAUAUUUAAGAUUAUAUUUAAGUAGACAUUUUAAAAAUUCAUACCUUGAUAAAUUAGAUUUAUUAAGAAAAUACCAAUUAAACUAUUACCUUAAUAAAUUCAAAUUUGAAAAAAAUACUUAUUUACAUAAAUUAAGUAAUAUGUUAUCUAGAGUAUUUAAUAAUAAUAUAGAAUUUAAUAUAGUAAACUUAAAAUCUGUUGCUUUUAGUCCUGAUAUAUUUACUGAUAUAUUAAGUUUAAAAAUUAGAAAACCUAAUGUUUCUAAUUUUGUAGGUGUAAUGAAUAGUUUAUUAAAAGUAUCCAAAUUACCUGAAGUUAAUAGAAUACAGGAAAAGGCUAGUUUUUUUAAAUCUAAAGAUUACGCUUUACUUGAAAAUAUUUACCCAAAUUUAAGUAUAAUUUCGUGCUUACAGGUACUAAAUAAUUACGGGCUCCUGUCGGAUAGUUUAGUAAGAGAGGAUUCCGGUUGCUAUUUAAAUUUUUUAUUAGCAAAAAAAUCUUUAAUAGAUGAAGACUCUAUUUUAGGUAUUAAUCCUGAAUUUUCCUUGCCUGAAGGAUAUGAAUACUUCAGUGACUUAUACGAAAGAGAAAAAGAAGAGUAUAUAAGAAGCAAUAUCUCUAAUAAAAUAUUUAAUUCUAUUAAAUAUAAAAAUUUAGGAGGUAUAAGAUUAGAACUUAAAGGAAGAUUAACUAAACGUAAUAGAGCAGAUAGAUCUCAAUUUAAAUUUAAAUGAAAAGGAGGAUUAAAAAAUAUAGAUUCUUCUUAUAAAAAAUUACCUACAGUUACAUAUAGAGGUUAUUAUAAACCUAGUGUAAUUUCGGCUUUAUCUCAAUCCAAACGUGCUGUAGGAUCUUUUGCGGUAAAAGGUUGAAUAAGUGGAAAAUAAGUAUAUUUGAGCUAAAGAACUAUAUAAGUUAUGGGGUGCGAGCAGCCGACUUCGUCGUAGUCGAGCGACUACGACGUCGUAUGCUCGCUCUAAUAAAAAUGAAGACAUAGUCUGAACCAUUUUGUGAAAAAUGGAAAUAAAAUUUAUUAUGAUAACAUGUAGAACAGGCUAAUUUGCGCAAGAGUGUACAAAAUGAGUGCGCGGUUUGGCACCUCGAUGUCGGCUUAACUUAUCCUCAUGGAUGCAGAAACUAUGUAGGGUACGACUGUUCGUCGAUUAAAAAGUUACAUGAGCUGGGUUAAAUACGUCGUGAGACAGUAUGGUUUCUAUCUUCUAGAGGGAAUUUGAAUAAAAUAAGGAUUAACCUUUGUACGAAAGGAACAGGAAAAACUUAGCCCCUCCAUUUCCGACUACUGCGUAGCCAGGAACGAAGGUGGGAUUAAAGUUAGGUUAUAUUAAUUGUUAACCUCUGGUUUACCUGUUGUUUAUAAGCCGAAUAUUUCAUUAAGUCGGGGUUCUCAAUAAACUAAAAAAGAUGAGAGUUCUCAUAGCUUAACCGACUUAAUUACGGGGGAGUACUCAAAACCUGAGAGAUGUCCCUAUCUUAAACGCGGAUGUUACUUUCACUUAAGUAAAUAUAUAUUAUAGGCACGGCAGGAAAGCUAAGUUAGUUAAAGAUAAGUGCUGAAAGCAUAUAGGCACGAAGCUUACCUUAAGAUAUUUCUAAUUCACGUAAUAUAAUAUUACGGUAUAGUAUUAU
rnacentral:rRNA from 1 species